CGCAGCCAACUAGUCUUCAAAUGCAUGAGGUCCACCGAGAACUUGCAAAUGAUUGAACCCUUCCAAAAUUUGGCGUUUUCCACAAAUGAAGACAUGCUUGCUUGCCAUCUUUAAUUGUCAAUCUUUAUCUUUUCCAUCGAAAACAAGAAAAUGAAGCUGGCUGUUUUUCUUUAUCGGUGUACAAAACUCGUUCUUACUCAAAAUCUCCUUUAAUUUUGUAACUGCAUCACUCCCAUCAUCUGAGUAUUCCAAAUAAAGCUAGUGCAUUGUCCACGCCCAUAGAAAAGCAAAAACGGUAAUUAAUCGCUCAUCCAUACGUUUGGAAUAUGAGAAAUCUUUGACCACUCAGAGCCACU
rnacentral:misc_RNA from 1 species